GACGAACGCUGGCGGCGUGCUUAACACAUGCAAGUCGAACGGAAAGGCUCCAGCUUGCUGGAGUACUCGAGUGGCGAACGGGUGAGUAACACGUGGGUAAUCUGCCCUGCACUCUGGGAUAAGCCUGGGAAACUGGGUCUAAUACUGGAUAUGACCUUUCUCCUUAUGGGGUUUGGUGGAAAGUUUUUCGGUGUAGGAUGAGCCCGCGGCCUAUCAGCUUGUUGGUGGGGUGAUGGCCUACCAAGGCGACGACGGGUAGCCGGCCUGAGAGGGUGAUCGGCCACAUUGGGACUGAGAUACGGCCCAGACUCCUACGGGAGGCAGCAGUGGGGAAUAUUGCACAAUGGGCGGAAGCCUGAUGCAGCGACGCCGCGUGAGGGAUGACGGCCUUCGGGUUGUAAACCUCUUACAGCAGGGACGAAGCGUAAGUGACGGUACCUGCAGAAGAAGCACCGGCUAACUAUGUG
rnacentral:rRNA from 1 species